UCAAGUGCACACAUAAUGUUCUCUUUGUUAAGCUGGGUGGUGAGUAUACUGUAUCUGUAUACCUCUUUAUAGAUUUGAAAUAGUUUAUAAUCAACAAUUUUAAAGAAACAAACCAGCACAUUGCCAAGACAAAAACAAAAAUAGAACAAAAUUAAAAAACCUCAACCAAAAACCAAAAAAGAGUUGAUAGGCUUGAAUAAGAUACCAAGAAGGGUACAAAGUAGGAAAAUAUGUAUCUACCAGCCUAGCCUUGUAUAUUUAUCUCAUUAGUAAAUACUGGAGUCACUUAAUGUCUCUGCCCUGACUCCAUCUGCUCCACUCAUGGAAGCUAGCCCACCAGCCCAGCCAAAUUAGCCCACUUGCCUAGCAGUCCCUGGAAAGAACAGAAAGCUCACUACCCAAAACAAUGGUCGCUGGCCAGAUACAAAACUUCGGGCUGCCAUAGUGAAUGCUCACAGCAUAUGAAUGCUCAGACUGCUUCACAGAAUCAAUCCAAUCAUUCUCCUUUGGUCUCAGAAAGGGUCCUGGCAACCAGUACUCCUAAAAUGAUUAAAGAUUUCCUAGGCUAUUUAAAAAUGUUUCAAGUGAACAAAAUUAAGGUGUGGAAAUCCCAGGCUUCAGGUAUGGGGACAAGAGAAAGGACGAAGAGAAUUUUCAGAGUUGUCAGUUGCCUCUGAAAUGACAACAUACUGUAAUGAGCAUCUCUCUUCCUUGUGGAGGGCAUCCAAAUAUCUGGACAAUCUGGUUUGGGAAUGACAUUCAGGGUGAGUACGCUCUGCCCUCCACUCAGUGCAUCGUGGGGAGGCUACCGAUUCCCAGUCCUCUUACCACCCACACAGCUUCACUGCAGUGAAGUUAGCUGAUGGAACUCCUGAUCACUUUUGAAUUAUGCAAAGAAUCUAAAGUUCUUGAGCCAAUCCUUGUUCAGAGUAAAGGUUUACAAGGAGACAGGUAGUUACCACUAAUUGAGCAAUGGCCACUUCUCAGACGCUGGAGUCUAUGCUUCACCCAUAUCAUUGAGUAUCCUCACAAUACUGCCAAGUGGACAUAAUAAUUUAUAUUCAUUUCAUGAAGAAGUUUAAGAUCAAUUACCUUAAGUAACUGGUCUACAGUCACACAGAAGGCAGGCUUUGUUAUAAAAAACAGGUAUAAAGUGCCCUAUCACAUGUAGUCUUCCCUGGCCUGGAGAGAUUCAUUAGUUAUUUGUGAAAAUUAGUUACAGGCCCAAAACCCAAAAACUAUGUUAAUUUGAUGCUAGAAUACUAAAUAGUAAAUUGCUAGAAUAGCACAAGUGUGGUAACCUAGUAUUUAUAGAGGCUCCAAGGCAGUUCUAACAUACUCAUCUAUCCAGGGCAAAUAAUGCCUGCAGUCCUUAUCAGACAGAUGAAGAUUAUAAUAUCUAUUUACUUCAAAGGGAGCUGAAUAUCACAUAAGAUCAUAGCUGUCAAAGUUCUUUAUGAAGGAAGAGGAUAGAGACUCAUUUUAGAGCAUGGUGGGGGACAGUUUGAUAGCAGUGGAAGACCCUAGGCAUCAGAGCUACCUGAGAUGCUGUUUAACAGCCGAUGAGGGAAGCUUGACUGGGAAUCCACAUUUAUCAUAACAAGCCCCCAAAUGAUUCUCUGGGACACUGAAAUAACAGGUUACAGCAGUGCUUCUCAAAUGUUAACAUACACAUGGGGAUCUUGUUAAAAUACAGAUUUGAAUUCAGUGGGUCUGGAAGAAAGGAGCAGGCAGGCUAAGAUUUUGCAUUUCUAAUAGCCUCCCAGGGGAGGCCACAUGCU